GUAUGACUGCUUCCAAGCACAACAUUCCUUCUCUAUAGCUAGCUUUCUAAUUUUCCAUUUUAGUUUCAAUUUUCUUCACACAUCAUUCAAAGACAUUAUGGUGUCCAAAGUGGAAGAAGCAAUGAAGAAACCACAACAGCAUAAUCAGCAGCAGAUACAGAAACAAAUUCAAUGCAACAAAGGAAAAGCUGGAAAGUUCAAAAGGAGCAGCUCCAAUGUGGAAGAAGAUGGUGUUUCUUCUGCCAUUCUCUUUCUAGCUUGCAUAGCUUGUACUCCUUCUUAUGUAUAGCACAUAAAAUCCAAUAAUCUAUGCCUUAAUUAAAACAUCUCCUAUCUCCUCUUCAUCUUUUGCCUUAUUCACAUCUCUUAUCAAUUAGCAAAUUAGAUAAUUAUAUUCAAUUAAUAUCCCUAUUUGUUCUUAUGCAAUUACUAUAGUAUAUACAUAUAUAUAUAUAUUGCCUCUAAACAAUAUAGUUAUCAUGUCAUUGUUCUUUCUAAGUAAGUGUAUAUCAUUAAUAUUUAAUAUUAUUUGUAAUUCAUUUGUGCAAUAUUUCCUCUGUUUCAAGUUUCAAGAAUUAUAUACUUUUUCCCCCAUAAAUAUAUAGUUUAUGAUAUUUGAAAUAGGUUAACUGCAGCUAUGUGACUCACUACUUCAAACAAUAUUCCAAUUGCAAUACAAGUGGAUGAAACAUGUUAGCUCUAUCACCACAACCAGUACUACAGUACUUUAUAUGUAAAAAAACCAAUAUUGAGAUAAAUAAGCCAAGUUAAGUUAAAUAGAAUGUGUUUUCUCUUUUUAUAUUUAUUUUGUCAAACUAGAAAAAGAAAAUAAUCUGUCAAAAAAUAUAAGUAUAAAUUUUACGAAUUUUAUAUUAACAUUAAUUAUAAAAAAUUAACAAAACAAUGAGUAUCAACCAAAAGCAUAAAAUAUAACUACAAAUAUUUUGAUGUUAAUGAUAAAAUAUAAUAAAAAUAAU
rnacentral:lncRNA from 1 species